UUCCCUGGGGUGCCGGAGUUUGGUUAAGUCCCUGAGCCGAUAAAUUUUAUACCAGGAUUUCUGUUCGUCUACUAUUGUGCAAGCUCGGCAUGUACCGAGAAGCCUACGGUAGACCGCAGCUUUCCGCCCUGAAACCUUCUGGUUUCAGGACUGACGCCGGACACCGCACGCUUGGGG
rnacentral:other from 1 species